AGCGAACGCUGGCGGCAGGCCUAACACAUGCAAGUCGAACGGAUCCUUCGGGAUUAGUGGCGGACGGGUGAGUAACACGUGGGAACGUGCCCUUUGGUUCGGAACAACUCAGGGAAACUUGAGCUAAUACCGGAUGUGCCCUUCGGGGGAAAGAUUUAUCGCCAUUGGAGCGGCCCGCGUCUGAUUAGCUAGUUGGUGAGGUAAAGGCUCACCAAGGCGACGAUCAGUAGCUGGUCUGAGAGGAUGAUCAGCCACAUUGGGACUGAGACACGGCCCAAACUCCUACGGGAGGCAGCAGUGGGGAAUCUUGCGCAAUGGGCGAAAGCCUGACGCAGCCAUGCCGCGUGAAUGAUGAAGGUCUUAGGAUUGUAAAAUUCUUUCACCGGGGACGAUAAUGGCGGUACCCGGAGAAGAAGCCCCGGCUAACUUCGUGCCAGCCGCCGUAAUAC
rnacentral:rRNA from 1 species